AACCUUUUUAACUCCGCCUUCGCCUUGGUCUUCUUCCAGUCUACUGUUUUUCUCAUUGAACUCGGCGUUUUGUCUUUUUGGUUUUGAGAACUGGAUGAAGUUCUAAGGGCUUUGGUUGGAACCUGAAGCCUGGCCUUUGCUACAACAUUGAGAAACUUAAUGAAGCUGGAAGGCUUUUGUUGCAAACGUAUCUUACAGGUUGCUUGAUUCAUUGUAUAGAUUACCAAGUAUCAAUGGACAAUGGAUUGUAUGCAGAGCUGCAAGUGCCAUCUGGUGUCAUAAAAGGGAUUACUAUUGGAAUUUCAACUGAGCUGAUAA